rnacentral:lncRNA from 1 species
GAAACCCUCACAGCCUCGAUCUUCAACCCACGCAGCUUCAGACAACACACCACAACUAGUCUUGAACUUGAAAUGUACCCGGAACCUCUCAAACACCCAAGAACACACAAGAGUUUCUUCAAAGCUUCAAACUUGUAACUUCAAAGAAUCUCACACGACCUCAGGCUCUCACUAACCUGGCUCUGAUACCAUGAUAGUUUAAUGAUGUUAAGAGUAAUCUGAGUGUUUAGAGAAGAUUAGAAUGAGUUUAGAAAAGAUUAAAGUCUGAAAUAAGAUUUGGAGUCUAGAGAGAGUUUUAGAAAGACUAAGAGAGACUCAUAACUUGCUUAAUCUUAUUAAUGAGUGAGGUUACAUAUUUAUAAGAGAGACACAAGGGUUUACAAGAAGGGAACUGAGCACUAUUCAACCGUGUGGAGUCAAGGGCGCCUUUUGAAUGAUUGGUCAGGAUGGCUCACACGCUUAUGGCAUCUUGGACUAAAGGUGCUUCAGCUUUCCAGCCUGUUCCAGCCUGGCACCGCGUUCCCUUAUCCUCUCAACGGUCUGAUCCUCUCCCUAAGCUACCCAAGUCACUCCUCCUUAGUUACCGUCUCACUUGGAUAAGGUAUGGUAAGUUUUGGUUGAGGUUUGGAUGGUACGGCCUUGUACGGCCUUGUACGGCCUUGUACGGCCUUGUACGGC